UGAAAGCAAUUUGCAACGAAAGUUAAAGUGGAAAAUUAAAUGUCACCCAUUUGGCUCAGUUAUCUCUGCCAGCCCAGUCUGCAGACUUUUGCUUUUCUGCCACAUCAGAUUGCCUCCGAUACUGCCAGGAUAUUAUGUUGGCAUAUUUCUGUCCGCCUGGGCCGACUGGCUAAGAGAUUCCAGAUAACCAACAUUAGGCCGCCACACCUCGAUAACCCCCAUCAGGCAGCAACGACCCCAUAACCCCAUACGGCAGCUAAGCCUCUAUAACCUCCAUCAGGUGCCACGCCCCGAUAGCCACCAUCAGGCCGCCACUCCUCGAUAACCGCCAUGACGGAGCAACGCCCCGAUAACCGCAUAUCAUUAGGCAACUUAUAACCACCACCAGGCCGCAACAUUCUGAUAACCACCACCAGACCGCAACAUUCGGAUAACCAUCACCAGGCCGCAACAUUCUGAUAACCACCAUCGAACAAUAACGACCCAGCAACCUCACAUUUAUUUUUAAAAUUAAGAUUUUUGAAUUUUAGCGCCAUUCGAAAUUUAACUUUCCCUGCUUUCACUUCCGUCACGGAAAAUAACUUUCACUUCCGUUGCCAAAAGACAUUUCCAGCUUAUAAUAUAGAUGUUACGUAAUUUUCCAAAAUGGCAAUAGAUUAAUUAGUCUACAGUGCAUAUUGGAUUUUUUAGAAUAUUAAAUUGUUAGAAUUGACGGGUUAAAAAUUUGAUCAAGCCAUUCACAAUAUCAGUUUCCGCUACUAAAUUUCACAUUAUCUCCUCAUCUUUGAUUUCUGAACUUUCGCAAUAAAUUUGUGCUUCAAGCAGAGCGGUGUAUGAGUUGUGUGACAAAUUUUUGUUUGAGUUUAUACUUGUUAGUUUUGCUGUGAUUCAAGAAAAAUUAUGUAAAUAUAUGUAAAUAUUUCUUGACCUAAACAUAACGGUAGAAUCAAUAAAAUCAUGUUAAUAGGUCUCACGAAAUUGUUUGCAGUAAAGGUUUUUGAGUUAAAAUAAACUGGUUUAAUAUUCUCACCUUUAGAAUAUUUUCUUCAAGUAAUCUAUGUACGUACAAUUGACUGAUCCACAUCAUUGCCCAGUGACUUUUACACAGGAUUCAUCAUUUAACAAUUUUUUAUACAAAUGACAAAGAACAAAAAUAUUUAUUUACUAAAAUGCUAGAAAUUCAGAAACCAUUUAUAUAAACAGAAUUUCCCGAAUUUUUCGUUUUUCAAAUUCCGACUCAAGGAUUUUUCAAGUCCAUGCAUUUCUGGGCCCGACACCGAUUGGUCAAAGAUUCCGUAAAUGUUGGUCAAGUUAGAUUUGUCCAAUCGCCG